UACGUAGGGUGCAAGCGUUAAUCGGAAUUACUGGGCGUAAGCGUGCGCAGGCGGCUAUGCAAGACAGAUGUGAAAUCCCCGGGCUCAACCUGGGAACUGCAUUUGUGACUGCAUGGCUAGAGUACGGUAGAGGGGGAUGGAAUUCCGCGUGUAGCAGUGAAAUGCGUAGAUAUGCGGAGGAACACCGAUGGCGAAGGCAAUCCCCUGGACCUGUACUGACGCUCAUGCACGAAAGCGUGGGGAGCAAACAGG
rnacentral:rRNA from 1 species